GCAGAAGACCUUUAUUUUAACCAUUUGAAGUGGUUUUAGCAGCAAUAAUAGAAAGUACAAUGGCUCAUGCAUAUGAAGUAUUGAUUGGAAUCAGCAUUGCAAUUGGGUUUGGAUUUCUUCUACUGGCAGGUCUGUUUUGCUUCCGUAAACAAAUUGAUAACUGUGUGGACAGUUUUUUGUCUCUAUGGAUACCACAGGAAGCUGACCAAAAGGAAAGACAACAAAACUUGCCGAAUAUAGAAGAUAUUACCUAUGCAUCAGUAAGAUGGCU